AUCAUUUUCAAUUUCAUGGUUAUAUGUCGAAAGAGCUCUGCGUCUGCUCCUGUUGAAGACGACAUGCAUGAGAUUUUGAUAAAAACUCAUCUCGAAUUCGAUUCAUGAUCAGGUUUCGAUCGUUUUAAGCUUCUCUACCUUUCCCCUCUGUCUCAACUCCCAAGAACCUCUCGAAGAUGAUCUCACAACAAAAAGAUCUGAUUUGAAGGAGUCACUUAAUACAAGAAGCAUCAGGUUAUCAUUCACCUAGCUACUGGUUAUUUGUUAAGAAAGAGGUGCGUAUUUUGGUGGUUGGUAUUGAUGCAGCUGGUGAGACUACUAAAGCUUGGAGAGAUUGUAACCCAAUUUCCUACCACUUUAUGAUAGUUAACUAUCCAAGCACGGAGGCUCAAAAAAUGCGUACUCAAAAACAGAGCAUACAUGAUAUUAUUUCGAGGUUAAGAGAGAGUUUCUCAAUGGAUCCCUUAAAAGGUCAGAAAAAUCAACUACAUCCUUGACAUUACGGUUUCUGCUAGUUGGAUAGUGUAUAUGCAGGACCACCAUUUCGAGUUCAUAGGAAGACUAGCUAGAUUUGUCAGAUGGAGUGUUUAAAUGGGAUACUGUUGCGCCAAGGAUAUAUGUAGUUGGUUUGUGCACAAAGUUGGUAAAUCCUGGUGGUGUAGUCAAGAGAUCAAUUGAUAUGACACCAUUUGCAGGUGAGAAAAAUUAGUGAAUCUAACAACAUUGACAUUAAGGUUCUUGUCAAUUGGAUAGUGCCCGCAGGACCACCGUUUCUGCCAUCUAAAGGUUUGUCCAUUGAAGGUGGAUGAAUUGGAUAAAGCGAUUGCUGUGGAAUCUAGAGAUCUUCCUGGUAUGGCAUCGAUGAAGUGGAGAUUGAGAAACGUAGAAGAUGGAUAAGCACUGCAUGCACUCAGGUGGGUGUCAUGAAGAAAGCUGUCGAAGCUGGAAAAUCUAGAAGUGCGAAUGUUAUGCGCCAUGAGCUGAUGAGGGUCCCUAAUGAUACCAGGCAGGCAAAACCAUCUAGUAUGCAACACUAGAUGAAGAGUCAGAUAGACAGAUGCUCCUCAUAAAGUCGCUUGAGUCGCACAAUAAUAAGGUUAAUUAUGUGUAGCUUUUAGCAAAGGUUCUUCAUUCAAGAUGGUGAACGGAAAUCUCCCACUACGAAUGUCAGACAGUUUAGACGCGAUUAAUGUGAAUUUGCUGGAGAUGUCCCGUUAUCUAAGAAGAGACUCUUGCUGCACGAGGACUGGUUAACUGCUCAACCAUCCGAUGCAAAUCUAACCAUUGUUCAGCUAGAGCUUGGCAUGGUUGAUAUUUUUAUCGGUCUGUGCAGACUAGAGUGGCAGUUUGUCUAUCGGGAAUGCUGGAUUUUUUGUAUUUCCGUCCAUGUGUAAUAGUUGUACACUGGCAUGAAUCAAAAAAAAAAAGUGAAAAUUAUAUAGUCAUAUGGGUAUUCUUUUUGUAGAUUUCGAAAACAGCUUUCCGAAUAUAUAAAGUUUGUGAAUUUUGGACGAGCGGUUCGAAAGAUAAAUUGUUUUUUAAUUAUUUAAAUAUUAUUUUAAGUUGAUGACAUCAUCAUGAGUAAUUUUGGACUGAAAUACAUAUAUUUGGACUAAAUUAUUAAUAAAGAUUAUUAGUGUAUUUUUCA